CAUAUAUAUAUAUAUGUAUAUGCAUCUGUAUGAGAAGAAAAAGUCUGGUUACGAAUAUUUUUAAUUCUCUGAGAGCUUUUUGAAAUUUUCCAGUGAACGGUUAUAGUUGUAUGUUAUGUGAUAGUCAAACACGUCAAAAGUGCUGUAUCUCAGUUGCCUAUGAUACAAAUUGCGAAAACUUCUUAGAGGUUCUAUCCAAUAUCGAUCAAAACAUUCAUCUCUAUGGUUUUUGAACAGCAGUUUGGCAGCGACAAUCAAAAUUGAGUGUGUAAAACUUUUGAAACUGUGUGACGUCGUUGGGAUCUUAUUCCAACGCUAAGAUUUCCAAAGAAGAAAGUACAUUUUAGAUCAUGACAAAUUGAGCAGCUGAAAUACACAUUAAUUGAGAGAGAGGUUGUCAUGAGUAUAGCUUAUUCAUCAUGAACAUAAUUCAAACACCGAAAAAGUGUUCUGAUUCUGAUGAGGAAGUUUGUUUUCAGUCGAUAUUUAAAUUGUCACUUGGGACAAACAUAAAUGCGUCGUGUGUACAGAGAUGUGCCUCUAGUUCUUACUGAAAUGUUGAUGGUUGCUAUUCGGGGGGAAUGGGAUUCUUGUGAUGUGAUAAAAAUUCGGUAACGCUUAUUCAUCAAUGUUGUCAUAAUGAUGAUUCCAACGGUGACUGUUUCGGCAUUCUUUCCGAGACUCUGUACUCACACAAGUUAAAUAGCACAGCAUCGUUUACCUGUAUAUUUGUAUAUUGCUGCGUGACAAUCUGACGCAUCGUUGAGCAGAACGUCCGGGAGACUUGGCUGCAGAAUUUCGCCAUUGCCGCGUAGAGAGCUGGGAACAGAAGGGCUGCUUCUCCUUUCUGCCUCUGAGGACGUCCACAGGAACCUCAGCGCUCCAGCCAGGCUGUGCCCGUCCUCACGUCUGCCUGUCUGCCUCCCGGGAACGGGGGCUGUCGUGUCCAGCUUUGCAUUCCCAGCGGCCGUGAGGAGUCAUCUCUGAGUGACCGUGAGGAGCGUGUGACUUAGAGACCAGUUCGGCCGUCUUCACAGCGAGACAGUCGGAUCGCCCAAGGAAUAAGGCGGGAGAUGUGUCCGAGGUCGGAUCUCAGAAGGUCUGCAGGUCGGGCUUUAUGGCUUUAGAUUAUUCGGAAUUCGCACGAGAGCGCGCCUGCAUUCUGCACGUUCGCGCCGAAGGCGCUCUGGGAGGGCCCCGGGCAGGCGAAAACGUCACCUCCGUUCACUCUCUCCACGUCGUACGCUCAUCCGGCUUUGAGUCCCGGCGUCUCAUCCGGAUCCAACGUGGCCUACGUUGUGUCCUCCUCAGGGCCGUGCGUGGAAGAGAAACGCACCUGCAGAUGAGCAGCGGACGCCAGGAGCCCGUCUCUGUGCAGUCGCUUCGUUCGCGCGUCUCACCUGUGAACCACAGAGUGUUCCCUGUCUGUACUCGCACUUUUUUUUCUGAAUCGAGGCGUAAAAUUUUGCAAGUUGGAAAAAAAUGCCAUUUUAAUUUCAUUUGCACCAAAUUUAAUAGAUUUAUUAGGAAAGGAUAAAUCUUUUUAAAAGAGUCUUCCCAACUGCAAGGUUGGCACACGUGUGGCCAUGCAGGCCUUUUGGGUUGGCCUCUGUGUCUCCUCUUCGUGCCUGUCCUGCCUUGAGCACGUCUGCCCUCACUGGCCACGUAGCGUCCAAGUUCAGGUGCGAAAGCAGCCAUGUCUUCAAGGCCCCCAAGUCGCUAGGGGGAUGGUGUUUAAAAUUUAAAAGCAAGACACCUCAGAACUUCCUUUCCGUAAGGCUGAGGAAUGCUACAUUGUACGGCUCUGCUGCAGCCUGGCACUUGCUUCGGAUUUGGGGAUACCAGUGUUUUUUAAAGCAUAAUCAUCACGCUGUCAGCUGAGAACCGUGACGUGUAAUAUGCUCAUCACAAUGGGAUGGCCAGUAGCACCUGUGGGACAUUUCUCGUUUUGGAGGGAGUCAGGCCCUUCGCCCUUCCGCACGUUGACGUCUGCGUCUCUGCGUGGUGGACGGCAUCCCUGUCGGCGGCGGCGGGUGUUUCCCUCCGAUUCCUGGGGCGGCCGGAUUGAAACGUCUCGCCGGCUUGGACCCUGAGCUCCUUCCUCUGUGCGCUCAUUGUCCCCAGAGCGUGGGAGUUUUACCCGAGAUGGGACCGGUUUAGGAAGUCAGACCCCUAGAAUCUUCACCGUCUUGACGUUGUGUCAGCCCAGACUCAUGCGUGGUCACCCUUUCUUUCUGUGGACUGUACUUUCGAGAAUGCUGAUUCGUUGAAACAGUAAAUGUUCCAGGAUCAGCAUUUCCGCUUCUCUGUGUCAUUCGAGUGCCUGGGCCCCGGGUGGAUAGAGGGACAAGGACGGAGGGUUGGGCAGGUGGGGCCAGAACAGGAAAGGGUGUGAAGCCGCCAGGAGCCAUGCGACGGAGAGCUCGCUACAGCAUCUUUCACAGACAAGGACCAAGAGCUUCGGGCCAGGUGGUGAGCGGGGACAGGGCCCGGACACCCCCUGCCGGCCCCACCACAGUGGCCCCGACACCGUCGACACCUGCGCGUUCAGAGGACACGCGGGGCCCCAGGAACUGAGCCGGCCGACGGGGACAGGUGCCGCCUGGACGCGCUCCCCUGAGCUCCGUGUCACGUGGCUUCUGCCUCCAUCGCUCCGUUGACCUCACUGCACUUGGAUCCACGUGAGCGAGGUGCGUGUGUGUGGCAGAUGCAGCUCACGACACCGUGGUCACCACCCGCGCUCGCCGGCCUUCCCCACGUGCCGUCUGGGGACCGUCGGAUAUUUAUUCAGCUGAGUUUGAGACUGAGUUUGACCGUGUAACUCAUCCUACUAUUCACACCUUAAAAAAACCCACAACCCUCCGGUGUCACAGCUUUUGGAAGGGUCGGAGCCGUGAGCGCUCUCAAGUGCGAUCCCUCGGUCCGAGACGCGUCAGUGUGGAGCUGCCAUGGGAACGGGACAGAAGAUGCACAGGACACGGUCCGCGGGCCGUUCCGUGCUGGGAGCCCACGAGGAGCGACCUCUGGAGACACACAGCACCAGUGCUCGGGAGCCAUGACGGUGCCGCUCAGCAGACAGCACCGCACAGAGCUCCGGGGUGCCGGCAGGACACGGAUCCCAGCCCUGGAGGAACGGCAGUCAGCGGGGUGUCACCGGUGGAAGAGACAGCCUGGGCAUGGAGCAGGGCACGGGCAGCGGCAAGACAGGCUCUGCAGACGGGGACGGGGUGGGGGCGAGAGUCUCAUCGGAGACGCGGCCGCAGCCGGAAGGGAUUCAGAAGGCAUCAUCCUCCACCGAAGUACUGUGCUCCGCUCGUCAUUUGUCACCAUGAGGUCAGGAUUCCGUGUUCCAUAAUCAGUCCCUACCCCUAGCUCUGCAUCUGUUUCUAUGUGUAGUACUUUGUUCCUUGCAAGGAUGAUGACUUAGCACUUCUGACCUGGUAGCUGGAACGUUGGCCGAAAUGAUGAGCCGGGGAACUGUGACAUAAACUUUGCCGGGCGAGGCCGCAGCAGCUGCCGGGGUGCAUUCAGAGCUCCCCUGCUGCAGGCCGGAGGUCCUCUCGCCGUGCCUGUGCCUUCCGGUUCGGCGACGGGAGAUGGAGUCUGCGAGAUCCUCGCGUCGGGGUGUGGAAUGUCGACCAUACUGCCGGAGGAAGGCGGCAGAGAAGUCACAGCUGGCCGAGGCUGCGUCUGUCAGAGGGGACGGCGGGACACCGAGGCCCGAGCCGGCUCCGAUUUUGACUUUGAUACAGUUUGGGGAUUCGGGACGUGAGAAAUCCCUCUAAGGAUGAUAAGCUGGUUAAUGAUGAUAAGAUGUUUAUAAUGACAUUUAACUGAUACGUGAAUGUAUAAUAUCAUUUAACUGACAUGUGAACGGAUGGACGGGUGGAUGGAUGGAUGAAUUAGGAUAAAAAGUAAAGUUCUUCACAAUAGAGAGUUGUAAACAUGAAAGGGAUGAUCAGCCUUUGGCAAUAAUCAUAAUUGUUUCAACCAUAAACAACUUCUUGCAGAAAAUCGGAGGAGACGCGGGACACGUUUGCGGCGUCCCGUUCUCUCGGUCGCAGAGGUGAUGACAUCACGGCGGGGGACCCGGCAGACGCCGUCCAGGCUGGGCCGGGCGGAGAGGCAGCGGCGGGCGGUGCGGGGCCGACUCGGCACCACGUGCCCAGACCCGGCUCUGUCUGCGAGGACACACACCCGAACCAGGUGACAGUCUACAGAGAGCCCAGCCGUUGGUCCUCAAACGCCAAGGUCGCCGAGGAAACGAUCCAGGUGACGUCGGACUGAACAGACGAGAAAGCAGCGUGGAGCUGACGAGAUUCUUUGGACGUCCGUCAGCGUAAUGUCGUGAGGCGAGUACUGUCAGACUCUGACGACGACGCGGAGGCUGUGGGACAGGGAAUUCGCGGUGCUUUUAGAUAUUCUUUCCGUUCUUACUGUUUCCGUUGACAAACUACGUACGUGUAUAUUAGUGCAUCCCUCGUGACAUGAACACGACGAGGAACGGAUAACGUGUUGUCGUGAUUGACGACGAGUAAAAUGCAGAAGGCGGAGCCUCUCGACGCUGCCCCGUCCACGCGGCACACGAGUCCACCUCCGAGGGUUCUGCCCCAGUCAGGGGGCUGGUACUGUCAUAAAGCAUGUGACAGUUUCCCUAGAAGUCACGGGCCGAAGGGACUCCGAGGCUGGGACGGGGACGUGCCCUGUUCGCCCAGGGUUCUGAAUGGGACACGAGUCGUAAAGACGACAUCAAAUUCACGCAGUUUCCCAUUGGCACAGUAGGCGUCGUUCCUAACGUUUCUAUGCAGGGCCUCGCUGAGGAGUCAGUCAUCUUCUCAGGCAGGCGUGAUUUGUCACCACUAGUCAGGUGACACGCCAUGCGGGACUCCCCGUGGCCAGGAUGGGAGACGAAGGCAGCGUGGCCCCGGGCGUGCCGCACACCUGCGGGCCCUCCCGAGGAAGCGCCUUCCUUCCCCGACACCUGUGUUGGGGAAGGUUACACAGACCGGCAGGAGCUGGACGUGUCCCCAGCGAGACGCGGGUGUCACUGCAGGAGGGGCCUCACACCCCUCCGCUCAGGGACUCCACGUGCAUUGUCCAGGUUUCCGGAAAACUGGGAGUUAUUGAGUCACAAGGACAGUUGUUCAGACUUCCUUCCCGUGUCACAGAAUGUGUUUAGAUUGACGAUGACGCCCUCGUGUGUCACAGUCAUGACGUGUGACACCAGGAAUUGCCCUGUGGUUUGCUUUUCUCCCACCGAGGGCCUUUGACUCAGUAAGAAUAAAUGUGCAUCACUCAGGAAGAGAACCUGUGGCCGAGGGCUGCGCAGGCCGCUCAGGAAGCCUCCUGGGGACAGAGGUGGCCCCCUCUCUUCGGAAGGCACCGUUGUCCCUGGUUGGGAAGCAGGACGUGACCUGAGCCCAGGACCAGGUCACACACAGCUGCCUGCAGUCUCGCUGAGGGACAGCGGAGCAGGAAGCAGAUGCCGCUGCCCCGGGCACUGGUUGGUGUGGGCGCCGUUACCUGAGAAUCCGGGCGCGUUUCUGAAACGUGCGUGUCAUUUCUCUACGUGGCCCAGGCGGAGUGGCUGAGGACGGGUCAUCGUUAGUCAUGAAAGUAUGACGUUCCCCUUUCGUUUGCUGUUGGACAUCAGCAGAUCCUGAGACGUGUCACCUGGGCCUGCACCUCCCCCGCGGAUCCCUCAGGAGGGGCCGGUACAGGGGACGGUCCCUCGUCAGCCAAGAGCACAGACCCAUCCCUGCUGGACGCGUGGAGGUCGCUGUAGCCCCGGAGGACGUGCGGAGUGCGCCGGCCCGGCGUCCCGGGGGAGGCGGAGUGGCUGAGGACGGGUCAUCGACAGUCACGAAGAGAUGACGUUCUCUUUCGGUUUGCUGGCUGGACAUCGGCAUUUCCUAAUGAACGUGUCACCUGGGCGUGCGCCUCCCCCGCGGAUCCCUCAGGAGGGUGAGCUCUCCUCUGCCCCAGGCUCCGCCAUUUCCCUGAGGAUCACGUAGGCCUGUGAGAGGCUACCUGUCCUCGUACCCCAGUGACACGUGGGGCUUUGCUCCUAUGGCUUGGUCGUUCCUGUGCUCCCUGGCCGGGACCUGGAUGCCUCAGGCUGUUCAAGGGCUCUGAUGUCCUUCAGUCACGAGGUGACCUCUUGGCGGCCUGGUCACAGUUCCUGAGUCCCCGAACGUGCUCGAUCGAUGAUGACCCUCACGUGCAUUCCUUGGAAAAUCUGAACAAAAUGAGUGAGAACCCCUACCGUCAUUCUCAUCGGAUCUGAGGUCCAGCAUGGGGAUGCCCGGGGACAGCCGGUGUGAGGGACAGCUGCUCACGGUCACAGUCAUGCCGGCACCUCCCAGGGUGUCAUCCGUGAGCGCCUCCCAUCCGAGUGUCAUUCCCCACCCCGCGUAUCUGUGGGUUUCCACAAUCACAGUUCUAGUUUGAAUGGCGAGUCUGGGUGACAAGGUGGCCGCCAGCCUGUCAGUCUUUGGACUCAGAGAAUGUGUGUGCCAUUGACCUCGGCCCAGCGAGCUCACGGCGUGGUCUGUGUUCUCAGCCUCCGCCGCAGACAUGGUUCCGAGGGUGUCUGCUGGGGUUCCAACAGCAAGGCCACGUGGCCUGUGACUGGAGCCCCAGCCAGGCAGGUAACGAUACGUGUCCUUGUCCUUUCGCGUGGUGGGGCCAUUUGCCGAUGAUCGGGCGGCGGUGCUGCGUGAAGCUCCCGCUAGUAAUGUACUCACCCCAUCCACGCGCAUCACGGUGGACUGUGCUGGCUUUGCCUUUGUGAUGUCACAGUGGUGUUCAAUGGCCUGGACAGGUGGAAGGUCCCCGAGAGGUCAGGUCAGAGAAUCCGCAGGUGUCCGUGAGACAUGCUGUUUCUGCCCGUUGGAACGAGGACACUUCCACCCGGCGGGGCUGCCGUGGCCGCCUCCCAGCGCCGGCUCGGGCUCCCUGGGCUCAGCACCGUGCACGCUGAGCGUCGUCACUUGGCGUCUCUGUUUCCUAGUCAUGGCGCCCACGUCUCUGCCUGCAGUUCCUGGAGGCGGUGCAGGGGCCGGGGAGUCAGCUGACCGACCCUUUACCUCUCAGUCCCAGCGAUGUAAGGCGGAGUGGCUGAGGACAGGUCAUCGACAGUCAUGAAGAGAUGAGGUUUUCUUUCGGUUUGCUGGCUGGACAUCGGCGAAUCCUCAGAAACGUGUCACCUGGGCGUGCACCCCUCCCACGGAUCCCUCAGGAGGGUCCAGCCGCCUGGGAGCAGACGCCAGCGGGGUGACCUGCCAGGUCUGCGACUCUCAGCCGUGGGGACCUCAGCAUCACAUGGCGCAGGCUGUUGGGUUUGGUGGCGGAAUCCCUCACCGGUCGCCGAGGACCAACAUAAAAACCAUCCUUCCCUUUGUGACAUGACGAGAAGAAACAUCCUGGAAAUCCUUCCGCUCUCAUCCUCGGGGGUCAGGAGGGUCCCUAACACAAGCUGGUUAAUCCUCCAGUGACCGUGGGACACCGUGUGUGACAGUCACCUACAGAGCCUGGAUCGCUGGUGUGGGCUGCUGGGUCGGCGUGGGCCGCAAACUGGGUUUCACGUGGACGCGUUUCCUUCUUUCCCUUGAGAUGUGACGUGAGGAAAGUUCUGGGGAUCAUCCCGCCGCCCGCUCCGGGGCCUGCGUGACGUUGUGAUGCGGGGAUGAAGAUGAGAUGGGGCCCAGGUGAGGUAUGCGAUGGAGAGGGUGUCCCCGAGGCCGUGGCGCGUGUCCUGUGGAGUGUGCCCAGCAGAGAACGGACAAGGAAGUGUCCCCGGGCACCCUGUGACAGGUGAUGCUGGAACCUAAGGGAGGGGAAACUGCCUGUGCCUUCUCCCGAGCUCGCGUGUCAGGCCACACAGCUUCUCAGUCUGGCUCUCCAUCCCUGCUGUGACCUCUGCGCAGCCUUGCGGAAGAUGACGUCUCUUGGGAGCGAAUGUCACCAGCCCACUCCCGACACGGGGCUCUUCCGGCAGAGAGCCUUCUCCUGCGCCGUCACCUGUCCCAGGUGAUAACCGCGAAGGCGAGGUGGAGCUGUCACUGGGUGCCACUGCUUCCGCCCCCUGCUCCAGCAGAGCAGUGGCACAGCCUGCCCUCUGCGUGGGGACGCCUCCCUCCCCGUGUCGCCCUGGACACCUCCUCAGAUAAGAAAUCUUAACUGAGAAUGCUCAUGUUGGGAUGUCACCGAUGAGACUUUGCUUUGGGCGCGGUGGCGGUCUCCCUUGCUGCCCCUUGACUCAAUCCCAGGAGCCUCAGUAGAGGAAAUAUUAUCGCACCAGAACUCAAAAUGUUGGAAUCCCUCAGUCCUCCCGAAAAUAGAAAUUUGUAGCUUCCUUCGCCACGUGGUAAAUUUGAAGAGUAGGCCAUAUUCAAAAGAAACCGCACGAUUUAAAAAAAGAUUCAAAGCAUCUAAA